GUUUGAUCAUGGCUCAGGAUGAACGCUAGCGACAGGCCUAACACAUGCAAGUCGAGGGGUAGCAGGAUGUAGCAAUACAUUGCUGACGACCGGCGCACGGGUGAGCAACACGUAUGCAACCUACCUUCUACAGGGGAAUAGCCCGGAGAAAUUCGGAUUAAUACCCCAUAACGCAGGGAUACCGCAUGGUAAUAUUCGCUAAAGAUUAAUCGGUAGAAGAUGGGCAUGCGUUCCAUUAGCCAGUUGGUGAGGUAACGGCUCACCAAAGCUACGAUGGAUAGGGGAACUGAGAGGUUUAUCCCCCACACUGGAACUGAGACACGGUCCAGACUCCUACGGGAGGCAGCAGUGAGGAAUAUUGGUCAAUGGACGAGAGUCUGAACCAGCCAAGUCGCGUGAAGGAUGACGGCCCUACGGGUUGUAAACUUCUUCUGUAUGGGAGUAAAAAGAUGGACGUGUCCAUUAUUGCAAGUACCAUACGAAUAAGCAUCGGCCAACUCCGUGCCAGCAGCCGCGUUAAUUCGAUGAUACGCGAGGAACCUUACCCGGGCUUGAAAUGCAUCUGACCGCNUAAGAAAUUAGGCUUNUAGCAAUAGCAGAUGUGUAGGUGCUGCAUGGUUGUCGUCAGCUCGUGCCGUGAGGUGUCGGCUUAAGUGCCAUAACGAGCGCAACCCACAUUGUUAGUUACUAACAGGUCAAGMUGAGGACUCUGACAAGACUGCCAACGUAAGCUGUGAGGAAGGUGUGGAUGACGUCAAAUCAGCACGGCCCUUACGUCCGGGGCGACACACGUGUUACAAUGGAUGGUACAGAGGGUCGCUACCUAGUGAUAGGAUGCCAAUCUCGAAAGCCAUUCCCAGUUCGGAUUGGAGUCUGCAACUCGACUCCAUGAAGCUGGAUUCGCUAGUAAUCGCGCAUCAGCCAUGGCGCGGUGAAUACGUUCCCGGGCCUUGUACACACCGCCCGUCAAGUCCAUGGAAGUCUGGGGGUACUCUGAAGUACGUAACCGACAAGGAGCGUCCUAGGGUAAAACCUAGUGA
rnacentral:rRNA from 1 species